AGUUUUGCCCGCUCUAAAUUAGGGCCUAUUCUGAAUUAGGGCCUACUCUAAAAGCAAUGAAGCUUGGUGAGUCUGUGGUUCGUGCUGGAUCGUGAGGGAGACAGCGCAAUUUAAACUACUGCUACUAACUAAUCAAAUAGUGCCGUGUUACAAAACAGUUGUUUCAUGACUAUGAGUGAAAUCUAUAAAACAAAGUGUUCCGCGUGUCAACAACUUUGCUUGCUUGUGAGAUCUACUUGUUUGUUUUAAUGGCCGCAAUGUCGUAUUUGCUCCCGAAAAAAUAUUCCACGGCACCGGUACAUUAGUUUCCAACAAUAUAACUUGCCAUUGACCUCAUCUGAGAGAGCCAUGGAGAGGAAAAUAUGAGCAAAAUGGCAGGGGAAAAAACAUGGAUGUUGGACACGAAUGGAAGACCUGUUUAUUGAACUUUGGAAGACCAGUGUUAGUGGGCUAUCCUCAAGAGACCAAGCAACCAAGGAAAAGCAACGAUAGCUAUAAGCAACGCAUUUCAAGCGGAGGACGCCGAUUCUUAGACAUUGUGCCGUCGGACUGAGCCAAUAAUGGGGCUCGCACGGAUGGCUUCGGGCAGCCGCUGUCACAUGAUGUGGUGGCGAACGUCCUGCCUACGUUAACCACCACCACCUCUGGGUGACAGUAAUGUCCGGAUGUGUGUAAUGCUGUAGCGCUCUUCAGUACUGGCAAGGGUCAGAAUUCCAUUCCAGAAUCUGAGGUGUUGGUUCACCAAGGGCUAAUCCUUGGAACCCACCAUCCAGGAGCCAACGUUGACAUGUUAAUGUAAUGCAGAACUAAUAAGCAGUAGACUGUGUAAGCUGCCUUAUUUCGCAUUUCGGGGGGAUUUGAGUAUGAACACUGGAUAUUAACCACUAAUAGCAGGCGGGUUGCAUUUCAUAAGACGUGGCUUAGUCUUGAUUUGACUUGACGUGUUUCGCAAUUCUCUCUUAAUAAGCGUUUCACUCUGCCCUUGACUCCACUUCUUGCCAUGGCUAUUGACUGCCCUUCCUUUUCCGCAGUCAGUUGAAGUGCAGUUUUGUUUGGUAAUGUGUCAAGAGCCUUGCAGGGAGGGGCCUCUUAGUGGGGGAAAAAAUAUUUUUUCUUUUGUUCUCCGUGUCAUUUAAAUCCUUCUACUGCAGUCAGAGCAAAGCCUUAGCUGACCACUUUAAAAAUUUUUUUUUUUUUUUUUUUUUUUUUUGCAAACUUCCAACAAAGGUUAGGGCAGCACACAGCAACUGGAUCAAAUUCCUUAAGUACAGUCAGGGAUACUUUAAACAGUCUCCAGUGUUCCCCUUAAAAGGUCAUUGAGCAAAUGUUAAACUCCAGCCAAUGCACAAAAGAGUCAAGCAACAAUAGAAACUAAACUUUUCACACACAGAUGCUGUCAAGGAUAGGGAACUGACACACAGCCUCAGGAAUACAUCCCUGAGAAAUUCUAUAAUGAUUUAAUUCUAAUUUAAUUCUUAACUCUUUAGAAUGGUAUCAAGAAAGAAAGAAAGAAAGAAAAAGAAAGAAAAAGAAAGAAAAAGGAAAGAAAACACCAUUGAAGGAAGGAAGAAAGAAAGAAGGAAAGCAGGGAAGAAAGAGAAAAAAAACGCCACUGAUAAUAUUUAGUUUGAAUAUCCACUGGAGAGAGCUACAUUAAGACCUGCUUCUGCAUGCACACAUUUUAUUUCUUUUCAUUUAGAUUCUGUACACAGCACAGCGUUUGGUUUGCACAGACAUAUUUUAUUUUGUAAUGGCACGGCAAGCUGUCAGCGAUUCGAGUUGUUUCUGUAUUAAGACAGAACACUAUCCAGGGGUUUGAAAAAUGUCCUCAUAUCAAGCCCGUGGUAUGUGACGAGCUGAAGUUUCUUUCUGAAAUUUUGCUGCUACGGCCGUGGCUGUUUUUCCCCUCAUAUUGUUAUGAUCCAUUUCCCUUCAUUGGUCUCCAAUAAGCUUUUGUAUUCUUUGCAGAACCCCACUCUGAAAUUGCUUUCCAUUGCAACUUACUUAGCCCAUUAAUGUAAGCUAUUACUGAGCUCGCAUGUUUCUAUGGCAACAAAACUGAUAAAGUGCACCAGGAGACUGAAAUGAUAGAUUGCAUGUGCAUGCUGUGUCAUAUCCAAUUAACUCAAAUUGACUGUGUACCACAUUAUGCCACUGCUCUGAGGAAGAUCAAUAAAUAUGGACAGAACCCAA